AGAGAUAAAUCUGGGACUGAGUACAAGCAAAACAAGACCAAAGGAAGCUACCUGAGCAGGUAUUCCAGAUAUUCAUGCCAUACACCAAGAUUGUACCAGUGCCCCUUUCUCUGUGACACAUCCAUCCAUUGGAAACUUUCGUACAACUAGCUGAAAGAAGAGAAACAUCUUAUUUUAUGUCACUGGAGCCCUAAUGAUCGCAGCCAUUUCAGGAGAUGCCAUCAAUUACAGUGAGGAGCUCAUUCAGAAGUGAAAGAUGAGUUCCAUUCUCUGUUACUUAGAGGAACACAAUUAUUUCUGGAAAGAGUAUUACACUCAGUAUUCUGCAUUUCAUAUGGCAUUUCAAAGUCCUGAGAAUAACUCUCCAUAGUGUUCUAUGUACUAAUUAAACAUGAACAUGUGGU
rnacentral:lncRNA from 1 species